AUUUGGAGUUCCGUAGCACAUUGCCAAGGCUCUAUGACUUGGAAGAUAACGAGUACACCGAGCUGGACACUGUGCGCAUUUAUAAGGAAACCUUGGAAAAAUUCAUGCAAGAUUACCCAGACUUCAUCGGAUCGAAACUGAUCUAUGCGCCGAUACGUAAUACAAGCCCAACACAAGUUGAGGAGUAUAUACGUAUCUGCAUUGAAAUAAAGGUUAAAUACCCCGAUUUCAUUGCUGGUUUCGACUUGGUUGGCCAGGAAGAGCU